GCCAGAAUGGCAUAGUGGUUUGAGCCUUGGACUAUGACUCUGGAAACCAGGGUUCAAUUCCUGCUCUACCA